UACGGGGGGGGCAAGCGUUGUUCGGAAUUACUGGGCGUAAAGGGCUCGUAGGCGGCCAACUAAGUCAGACGUGAAAUCCCUCGGCUUAACCGGGGAACUGCGUCUGAUACUGGAUGGCUUGAGUGUGGGAGAGGAAUGCGGAAUUCCAGGUGUAGCGGUGAAAUGCGUAGAUAUCGGGAGGAACACCUGUGGCGAAAGCGGCUCACUGGACCACAACUGACGCUGAGGCGCGAAAGCGUGGGGAGCAAACAGG
rnacentral:rRNA from 1 species